UACGAAGGGGGCUAGCGUUGUUCGGAUUUACUGGGCGUAAAGCGCGUGUAGGCGGGUCGUUAAGUUGGGGGUGAAAUCCCGAGGCUCAACCUCGGAACUGCCUUCAAAACUGGCGGCCUGGAGCAAGAUAGAGGCGAGUGGAAUUCCGAGUGUAGAGGUGAAAUUCGUAGAUAUUCGGAGGAACACCAGUGGCGAAGGCGACUCGCUGGAUCUUUGCUGACGCUGAGACGCGAAAGCGUGGGGAGCAAACAGG
rnacentral:rRNA from 1 species